UGGAGCAAUCCAUGAGUAGAGUGGCAAACGGGUGAGUAACACGUGGGUGACCUGCCUUCGAGCGGGGGAUAACGUCCCGAAAGGGACGCUAAUACCGCAUAACAUCCUGCCUUUUAAGAGGUGGAGAUCAAAGCCGGGGAUCGCAAGACCUGGCACUUGAAGAGGGGCCCGCGCCUGAUUAGCUAGUUGGUGGGGUAAUGGCUCACCAAGGCAACGAUCAGUAUCCGGCCUGAGAGGGCGGACGGACACACUGGGACUGAGACACGGCCCAGACUCCUACGGGAGGCAGCAGUGGGGAAUUGUUCGCAAUGGGCGCAAGCCUGACGACGCAACGCCGCGUGGAGGAUGAAGACCUUCGGG
rnacentral:rRNA from 1 species